rnacentral:rRNA from 1 species
GCAGCCAUUCAUUGAAAGAGUGCGUAAUAGCUCACUGGUCGAGUGGUGGUGCGCCGAAGAUAAACGGGGCUAAAACUAUACACCGAAGUUUAGGAAUAUGGAGUACCAUAUUGGUAGAGGAGCGAUGUAUACGGGCGGAAGCGUUAUCGUAAGAGGGCGUGGACUGUAUACAAGAGAGAAUGCCGGCAUGAGUAGCGAGAACGGAGUGAGAAACUCCGUGGUCGAAAGUCUAAGGUUUCCUGGGGAAGGUUUGUCCACCCAGGGUUAGUCGGGGACUAAGCCGAGGUCGAAAGGCGUAGGCGAUGUACAACAGGUAGAUAUUCCUGUACCGUCUGUAUCCGACGAAGAGCGAAGCAAUGACACAGUAGGAUAGUCUAGGCGCGGUGAUGGAUAGCUGCGUUCAAAUCAUGAGGCUUGCAGUUAGUGAAGUACGGCUGCAGAUAAGGCUGGGUGAUGACGAGGAGUGAAAAUUAGUAGCGAAGUAGAUGAAUUCACACUGGCGAGAAAAGUUGCUAAGCAGGAUACAGGCGCCCGUACCGCAAACCGACACAGGUAGACGACAAGAAGAUUGUAAGACGGACGAGAGAACCCUUGUUAAGGAACUCUGCAAAAUGGCCCCGUAACUUUGGGAGAAGGGGUGCCUGCCUGGCGAUCAGGCAGGUCGCAGUGACCAGGGGGCUCUGACUGUCUAAUAACAACAUAGGUGACUGCAACUCGGAAACGAUUAGUAUAGUCACUGAUUCCUGCCCAGUGCGAGUAUCUGAAAACCGGGUUCAACCGGGCGAAGGACUCGUAAACGGCGGGGGUAACUAUGACCCUCUUAAGGUAGCGUAGUACCUUGUCGCUUAAUUGGCGACUUGCAUGAAUGGAAUAACGAGAGCGAUACUGUCCCUAACACAAACCCGUUGAACCUUUUGUACUAGUGCAGAGACUAGUGACUCCUUAUGGGAAGUGAAGACCCCGUGGAGCUUUACUGCAGCCUGUCGUUGGGUUACGGUAUUACCUGCGCAGGGUAGAUGGGAGACGUCGAUCCAACCCUUGUGGGGGUUGGUUAGUCAACGAUGAGACACCAUCCUGGUUUUAUUGUAAUUCUAACUGAUUGAUCAGGACAUCGAUAGGUAGGCAGUUUGGGUGGGGCGCCACACCCUCGAAAAAAUAUCAAGGGUGCCCUAAGGUCAACUCAAGCGGGUCAGAAACCCGCUGAAGAGUGUCAAGAGCAAAAGUUGGCCUGACGCGAUUUCGAAUAACAAGAAAUCGCGAGAGGAAACUCGGGUCUAACGAACCAAUACGCCCUGUUGAUGAGGGCUAUUGACUACAGAAAAGCUACCCCGGGGAUAACAGAGUCGUCGCCGGCAAGAGCACAUAUCGACCCGGCGGCUUGCUACCUCGAUGUCGGUUCUUUCCAUCCUGGCUGUGCAGCAGCAGCCAAGGGUGAGGUUGUUCGCCUAUUAAAGGGGAUCGUGAGCUGGGUUUAGACCGUCGUGAGACAGGUCGGUUACUAUCUAUCUGGAGUGUCAGGAGUCUGAAGGUAAGAUGGAAAUAGUACGAGAGGAACUUUCCGUCGUCGCCUCUGGUGUAUCGGUUGUCCGACCGGGCAGUGCCGAGCAGCUACGCGAUAAGGGAUAAAAGCUGAAUGCAUCUAAGCUUGAAACCCGACCUGAAAAGAGACUCCGUUGAGGACACGGGUAAAAGACCCGCUUGAUAGGCCUGGGAUGUAAGCAUGAAGGCAACGACAUGUUCAGUCCGCAGGUACUAACGUCCGAUGCCGUCCACU